GCCAGUGUGGCAUAGUGGUUUUAUUGUUGGACUACAACUCUGGAGGCCAGGGUUUGAUUCCCCACGCAGCCA